UACGGAGGGUGCGAGCGUUGUCCGGAAUCAUUGGGCGUAAAGGGCGCGUAGGUGGCCCGCUCAGCGUGCGGUGAAAGCUCGGGGCUCAACCCCGAGUCGGCCGUGCGAACUGGUGGGCUGGAGCACUGUAGAGGCAGGCGGAAUUCCGGGUGUAGCGGUGGAAUGCAUAGAGAUCCGGAAGAACACCGGUGGCGAAGGCGGCCUGCUGGGCAGUUGCUGACACUGAGGCGCGACAGCGUGGGGAGCAAACAGG
rnacentral:rRNA from 1 species